rnacentral:tRNA from 1 species
GGUUUUUUUACCCUUGCGGUUUACCUUUUUCGAAAAAAGGGUUUUAAAAAAAAAAACCG